GAUGAACGCUGGCGGCGUGCUUAACACAUGCAAGUCGAACGGAAAGGCCACAGCUUGCUGUGGUACUCGAGUGGCGAACGGGUGAGUAACACGUGGGUGAUCUGCCCUGUACUUCGGGAUAAGCUUGGGAAACUGGGUCUAAUACCGGAUAGGAAUCUCAUGUGGGUGUGUGGUUGGAAAGCUUUUGCGGUAUGGGAUGAGCUCGCGGCCUAUCAGCUUGUUGGUGGGGUAAUGGCCUACCAAGGCGUCGACGGGUAGCCGGCCUGAGAGGGUGUACGGCCACAUUGGGACUGAGAUACGGCCCAGACGCAUACGGGAGGCAGCAGUGGGGAAUAUUGCACAAUGGGCGCAAGCCUGAUGCAGCGACGCCGCGUGGGGGAUGACGGCCUUCGGGUUGUAAACUCCUUUCGUCAGGGACGAAGCGAAAGUGACGGUACCUGGAUAAGAAGCACCGGCUAACUACGU
rnacentral:rRNA from 1 species